CAGCAGGGGUCGCGAAAGUGCCGUGUUUAGGGCGUAUUGCGCAUUCUUCUGACACCAUACUCUCGAAUCGGAGUUUGUUGUUUUUCUUCGGUAAACAUCUGAGUUUAAGGAGCGGGUUUACCGGAUGAGAAAACCAAAGGAACUCGUUAAACAGGGUUUCCAUUCUAAAUCGUAGGGAAAGACAUCCAAAAUGAGUUCCUCCACUCAGCUGGACUCGGAGAAUUCUGAAAGAAAGAGUUCAGAGUCACUAGAACCCAGCUGUAUGUCCAUGAAGAGUGAUCGGUCAAUGCACGAGCCCUUAAAAUUCAGAGACGAACAAAGUUCUGCUGAACUCAAAUGUUUUUGUCUGACACAGGAAGAGAUCAGUCACCAGAACCCAGCUGUGUGUCCAUGAAGAGUGAUCGGUCAAUGCACGAGCCCUUAAAAUUCAGAGAGGAACAAAGUUCUACUGAGCUCGGUGUCCAAAAGAGUAGAGCAGACAGAAAAAAGCAAAGUUGAAGUCUGUAUUCAAGGCCGUGGGGGUGUAAUCUGACAGCGGAAAGCUGUAAAGUUCUGUCCUCAGUUCUCAGCUCAAACUCCUCCAGACUGAGAGAACUGGACCUGAGUGGAAAUAAACUGCAGGAUUCAGGAGUGAAGCUGCUCUCUGCUGGACUGGAGAAUCCACACUGUACACUGGAGAUACUGAGGCUGGAACGUUGCGGUAUUACAGGUGAAGGCUGUGCUGCUCUGGUUUCAGCUCUGAGGUCAAUCUCCUCAUCACACCUGAGAGAACUGAAUCUGAAACACAAUAAUCCAGGAGAAUCAGGAGUGAAGCUGCUCUCUGAUCUACUGAAGGAUCCACACUGUAAACUGGAGACACUACAAUGAGUUACUGAGAUUCUUAAAUAAAUCUACAAGGUAAUGGAUGCUUAUUGGUCUAACCUGAGAUAUCAAGAUAUCAGAUGAUGUAAUCAGCUGCAGUCUCCACUUUACUGAGGAGCUACAUGAAUCCAAACUGAAGAAACCAGGUGAUGAUGUGACUGCUCUUACCCAAGACACAACCUGCUCUGAAAAUAUUUUCUGGAAACUUUAAUCUAUCAAUCACAGAAGAAUGACUUCUUUCAGAGAAAGGAACUGGACUCUUGUUAUUUUCCUUAAAGGAGACACUAGAACUAAUCUAGCCAGAUACAGAUGAUUUUGCUCUGUAAAAUCAUUCAACAGACAUGUUCACAAGUCCCUGAGGUCCAAGUCAAGUCACAAGUCAUAAGUGCGACUUGAGUCCAGGUGGUAGACUUGAGUUUCCAUCUCUGUAAUUCAAUGGCACUUUAUUAUUCUGCUGAUAACAUGAUCAGGGUUAAAGAUUUUCUGUGUGGUGCAUUUUGACAAAUUAAGGCUAACUGCAAUCUUAAACGACAGCGGCUGGUCUGUUCAGGUUUAAGUUAAAUGCUGUGAUCAGAUAUCUUUGAAUGGCCAGUUAAUGGUAUUAAUAAAACAAAUUGUGUGACCUUCAAUAAAUACAAAA